CCUACGGGUGGCAGCAGUCGAGAAUCAUUCACAAUGGGGGAAACCCUGAUGGUGCGACGCCGCGUGGGGGAAUGAAGGUCUUCGGAUUGUAAACCCCUGUCAUGUGGGAGCAAAUUAAAAAGAUAGUACCACAAGAGGAAGAGACGGCUAACUCUGUGCCAGCAGCCGCGGUAAUACAGAGGUCUCAAGCGUUGUUCGGAAUCACUGGGCGUAAGGCGUGCGUAGGCUGUUUCGUAAGUCGUGUGUGAAAGGCGCGGGCUCAACCCGCGGAUGGCACAUGAUACUGCGAGACUAGAGUAAUGGAGGGGGAACCGAAAUUCUCGGUGUAGCAGUGAAAUGCGUAGAUAUCGAGAGGAACACUCGUGGCGAAGGCGGGUUCCUGGACAUUAACUGACGCUGAGGCACGAAGGCCAGGGGAGCGAAAGGGAUUAGAUACCCCAGUAGUC
rnacentral:rRNA from 1 species